rnacentral:rRNA from 1 species
UGGCGGUAUGCUUACACAUGCAAGUCGAACGGUCUUUUCGGAGACAGUGGCGGACGGGUGAGUAACGCGUAAGAAUCUACCCCCAGGUCGGGGACAACCACUGGAAACGGUGGCUAAUACCGGAUGUGCCGAGAGGUGAAAGGCUUGCUGCCUGGGGAAGAGCUUGCGUCUGAUUAGCUAGUUGGUAGUGUAAGGGACUACCAAGGCGACGAUCAGUAGCUGGUCUGAGAGGAUGAUCAGCCACACUGGGACUGAGACACGGCCCAGACUCCUACGGGAGGCAGCAGUGGGGAAUUUUCCGCAAUGGGCGAAAGCCUGACGGAGCAAUACCGCGUGAGGGAGGAAGGCUCUUGGGUUGUAAACCUCUUUUCUCAGGGAAGAAAAAAAUGACGGUACCUGAGGAAUAAGCAUCGGCUAACUCCGUGCCAGCAGCCGCGGUAAUACGGAGGAUGCAAGCGUUAUCCGGAAUGAUUGGGCGUAAAGGGUCCGCAGGUGGCAUUGUAAGUCUGCUGUUAAAGAGUCUAGCUCAACUAGAUAAAAGCAGUGGAAACUACAAAGCUAGAGUUUGGUCGGGGCAGAAGGAAUUCCUGGUGUAGCGGUGAAAUGCGUGGAUAUCAGGAAGAACACCAGUGGCGAAGGCGUUCUGCUAGGCCGAGACUGACACUGAGGGACGAAAGCUAGGGGAGCGAAUGGGAUUAGAUACCCCAGUAGUCCUAGCCGUAAACGAUGGAUACUAGGCGUAGCUCGUAUCGACCCCGAGCUGUGCCGGAGCUAACGCGUUAAGUAUCCCGCCUGGGGAGUACGC